rnacentral:rRNA from 1 species
UACGAAGGGUGCAAGCGUUAAUCGGAAUUACUGGGCGUAAAGCGUGCGCAGGCGGUUUUGUAAGUCUGACGUGAAAUCCCCGGGCUCAACCUGGGAAUUGCAUUGGAGACUGCAAGGCUAGAAUCUGGCAGAGGGGGGUAGAAUUCCACGUGUAGCAGUGAAAUGCGUAGAGAUGUGGAGGAACACCGAUGGCGAAGGCAGCCCCCUGGGUCAAGAUUGACGCUCAUGCACGAAAGCGUGGGGAGCAAACAGG